rnacentral:rRNA from 1 species
AUUGAACGCUGGCGGCAGGCCUAACACAUGCAAGUCGAACGAGUGGCGGACGGGUGAGUAAUGUCUGGGAAACUGAAUGAUAGAGGGGGCUAACUACUGGAAACGGUAGCUAAUAACGCAUACCAUAGGGUGUGCCCAGAUGGGAUUAGCUAGUAGGUGGGGUAAAGGCUCACCUAGGCGAAGAUCCCUAGCUGGUCUGCGAGGAUGACCAGCCACACUGGAACUGAGACACGGUCCAGACUCCUACGGGAGGCAGCAGUGGGGAAUAUUGCACAAUGGGCGCAAUCCUGAUGCAGCCAUGCCGCGUGUAUGAAGAAGGCCUUCGGGUUGUAAAGUACUUUCAGCGGGGAGGCGUUACCCGCAGAAGAAGCACCGGCUAACUCCGUGCCAGCAGCCGCGGUAAUAC